rnacentral:lncRNA from 1 species
UAAACUUUCCAAGUCCACCGCCAACACAACCCUGUGAUAGGCACUUGCGUUGUGUUGUCCUUCAAGCCUUCAACCCCAUUGCAUUGUGACUUGUCAAUUCUAACGGCGUUGUCUCUGGGUCUUUGUUUUGUGUUGCCAAACCAGAAGAGGUGAAGGCACCUGCUGAGGUUCCGUCGGUGGAAGACACAGCUGCCCUUCCCAGCAAGGCCCUUCCCCCGAAUCUGGAGAAGAAGACCAAGCCUUCGGCCAGCGCCGGGGCCAAACCUGCCGCAGUGAAAGCCAAGCCCAGGACGGUGGGUGCUCCCCCCACCAAGCGGCCGGCUUCAGCCACGGUGGGCCCAAGCAGAAAGGCCACCUCUGCGGCAGAGACCACAUCCAAACGCCCAUCAACUGGUGUCGCGCGAUGCUCCAGCUUAACUGCCCGAGAGGUUAAACCGAAGGUAAGCAAACUAGCACACCGUCUGAGAAGUUUUCCGGGGCAAAGACCACGCCACGAAUGGGGUUUUCCCCUUUGUAAGGCAUUCUGGACGCUGAUCGUGGUAUGUAGAAAACACCUCCAGCGUCUCAGCGAAGAGAUGCUGGCUAGGGAAGGGGCCGAUAAGAGAGGGCCGAGCCCACUGCUAUAUAAUAAUGGGUGGAGAAAAAAAAGAGACUCUCUGCCUAGUUUCUGAUCCUGUAAAGGAGGUGGUCUUAAUACCAUGUGCAAAUGAUCUUGGGAGACUUGAUGAAGAGAUGUUGGCUAGGCAGGGGUGGGCUUCAAAAAAGCCAGUAGUUGCCAGCCACUUGUUGCAACUACCAGUUCAGCGAACCAGAUGUAAAAUUAGCAAGGGGUUCGCCCAAACUGGUGCGAACCGGUAGCAACCCACCCCUGUGGCUAGGGAAGGAGCAGAUAAGAGACGGCCGAGCCCACCGCUGUGUAACGGGUGGAGAAAAAGGAGAAGACUCUCUGCCUAGUUUCUGAGGUUGUAAAGGGGGUGGUUUUCAUACCAUGUGCAAAAGACUUUGGGAGACUCCACAAAGAGUUGCUGCCUGGAAACGGAUCGCAUAAGAGGCUUGGGAGCCCAUAGCUGUAUAAUGGGUGGAGAAAGAAACUCAGAAGAGACUCUCUCUAGUUUCUGAGGCUGUAUAGAAGAUGGCUUUCAUAGUAGGUUUCCUCUUUGAGAAGGGGGUUGGAUUAGAAGACCUUGGGGGUUCCUUCCAAUUCUGCUAUGGUAGCAUUCUAAUAUGUGAGAAAGACCUUGGGAGACCGAGCAAAGCGAUGCUGUUUAGUGAAUGGUCAGAUAGGAGCCCGCCAUUGUAUAAUGAAUGGAGGAAGAAAUUCAGAAGGGACUCUCCCUGGUAUCUCAGACUAUAAAGAAGAUGGCUUUAGUAUUAUAGAGAAAAGAUCUAGGAAAAAAGAACAAGAAGAUGCUGCUUAAGGAACGGCCAGAUUAGAGACAGCAGAGCCCGCAGCUGUGUAUCGGGUGGAGGAAGACACUCAAAAGAGACUGCCCUAGUUUCUCAGGCUAUAAAGAAGAGGGCUUUAACAGCAUGUGCAAAUGACCUUGGGAGACUCGACAAAGAGAUGCUGCCUAGGGCAGGGACAGAUAAGAGACCACAGAGACCACCGCUGUGUAACAGGCAGAGAAAGACACUCAAAAGAGAUUCUCUCUCAUUUCUGGGGCGGUAAAGAAGACAGCAUUCAUAGUAGGUUUCCUCCUUGGUUGGACUAGAUGACCUCCAAGGUCCCUUCCAAUUCCUGUCAUUCUAUGAUUCUAUAAGGACCUCCUGCU